rnacentral:rRNA from 1 species
UACGUAGGGUGCGAGCGUUGUCCGGAAUUACUGGGCGUAAAGAGCUCGUAGGUGGUUUGUCGCGUUGUUCGUGAAAACUCACAGCUCAACUGUGGGCGUGCGGGCGAUACGGGCAGACUGGAGUACUGCAGGGGAGACUGGAAUUCCUGGUGUAGCGGUGGAAUGCGCAGAUAUCAGGAGGAACACCGAUGGCGAAGGCAGGUCACUGGGCCGCAACUGACGCUGAGGAGCGAAAGCAUGGGGAGCGAACAGG